AGAGUUUGAUCCUGGCUCAGGACGAACGCUGGCGGCGUGCCUAACACAUGCAAGUCGAACGAGAAUCUUUGAACAGAUCUUUUCGGAGUGACGUUCAAAGAGGAAAGUGGCGGACGGGCGAGUAACGCGUGAGUAACCUGCCCAUAAGAGGGGGAUAAUCCAUGGAAACGUGGACUAAUACCGCAUAUUGUAGUUAAGUUGCAUGACUUGAUUAUGAAAGAUUUAUCGCUUAUGGAUGGACUCGCGUCAGAUUAGAUAGUUGGUGAGGUAACGGCUCACCAAGUCAACGAUCUGUAGCCGAACUGAGAGGUUGAUCGGCCGCAUUGGGACUGAGACACGGCCCAGACUCCUACGGGAGGCAGCAGUGGGGAAUAUUGCGCAAUGGGGGCAACCCUGACGCAGCAACGCCGCGUGCAGGAAGAAGGUCUUCGGAUUGUAAACUGUUGUCGCAAGGGAAGAAGACAGUGACGGUACCUUGUGAGAAAGUCACGGCUAACUACGUGCCAGCAGCCGCGGUAAUACGUAGGUGACAAGCGUUGUCCGGAUUUACUGGGUGUAAAGGGCGCGUAGGCGGACUGUCAAGUCAGUCGUGAAAUACCGGGGCUUAACCCCGGGGCUGCGAUUGAAACUGACAGCCUUGAGUAUCGGAGAGGAAAGCGGAAUUCCUAGUGUAGCGGUGAAAUGCGUAGAUAUUAGGAGGAACACCAGUGGCGAAGGCGGCUUUCUGGACGACAACUGACGCUGAGGCGCGAAAGUGUGGGGAGCAAACAGGAUUAGAUACCCUGGUAGUCCACACCGUAAACGAUGGAUACUAGGUGUAGGAGGUAUCGACCCCUUCUGUGCCGCAGUUAACACAAUAAGUAUCCCACCUGGGGAGUACGACCGCAAGGUUGAAACUCAAAGGAAUUGACGGGGGCCCGCACAAGCAGUGGAGUAUGUGGUUUAAUUCGAAGCAACGCGAAGAACCUUACCUGGGCUUGACAUCCCUGGAAUCGAGUAGAGAUACUUGAGUGCCUUCGGGAAUCAGGUGACAGGUGGUGCAUGGUUGUCGUCAGCUCGUGUCGUGAGAUGUUGGGUUAAGUCC
rnacentral:rRNA from 1 species